AACGAACGCUGGCGGCAUGCCUAACACAUGCAAGUCGAACGAGACCUUCGGGUCUAGUGGCGCACGGGUGCGUAACGCGUGGGAACCUGCCUUUAGGUUCGGAAUAACAGUGAGAAAUUACUGCUAAUACCGGAUGAUGUCUUCGGACCAAAGAUUUAUCGCCUUUAGAUGGGCCCGCGUUGGAUUAGCUAGUUGGUGGGGUAAAGGCCUACCAAGGCGACGAUCCAUAGCGGGUCUGAGAGGACGAUCCGCCACACUGGGACUGAGACACGGCCCAGACUCCUACGGGAGGCAGCAGUGGGGAAUUUUGGACAAUGGGGGCAACCCUGAUCCAGCAAUGCCGCGUGAGUGAAGAAGGCCUUCGGGUUGUAAAGCUCUUUUGUCAGGGAAGAAACACCGGCUCUAACACAGUCCGGGAAUGACGGUACCUGAAGAAUAAGCACCGGCUAACUACGUG
rnacentral:rRNA from 1 species